AACGUAGGACGCAAGCGUUAUCCGGAGUUACUGGGCGUAAAGCGCGGGCAGGCGGUCUUACCAGUCUGAUGUGAAAUCUCUCAGCUCAACUGGGAGCAGCCAUUGGAAACUACAAGACUGGAGUCUGGCAGAGGUAGGCGGAAUUCCGGGUGGAGUGGUGAAAUGCGUAGAGAUCCGGAGGAACACCAGAGGCGAAGGCGGCCUACUGGGCCAGUACUGACGCUGAGCCGCGAAAGCCAGGGGAGCGAACGGG
rnacentral:rRNA from 1 species